UUGAUCCUGGCUCAGGACGAACGCUGGCGGCGUGCUUAACACAUGCAAGUCGAACGGUGACGAGCAGCUUGCUGCUCUGAUCAGUGGCGAACGGGUGAGUAACACGUGAGCAACCUACCCUUGACUCCGGGAUAACAGCUGGAAACAGCUGCUAAUACCGGAUACGACCUCGACCGACAUCUGUUGAGGUGGAAAGUUCUGGCGGUCAAGGAUGGGCUCGCGGCCUAUCAGCUAGUUGGUGAGGUAACGGCUCACCAAGGCUUCGACGGGUAGCCGGCCUGAGAGGGCGACCGGCCACACUGGGACUGAGAUACGGCCCAGACUCCUACGGGAGGCAGCAGUGGGGAAUAUUGCACAAUGGGCGAAAGCCUGAUGCAGCAACGCCGCGUGCGGGAUGACGGCCUUCGGGUUGUAAACCGCUUUCAGCUCCGACGAAGCGCAAGUGACGGUAGGAGCAGAAGAAGGACCGGCCAACUACGUGCCAGCAGCCGCGGUGAUACGUAGGGUCCGAGCGUUGUCCGGAAUUAUUGGGCGUAAAGGGCUUGUAGGCGGUUUGUCGCGUCGGAAGUGAAAACUCAGGGCUUAACCCUGAGCCUGCUUCCGAUACGGGCAAACUAGAGGAAUGCAGGGGAGAAUGGAAUUCCUGGUGGAGCGGUGGAAUGCGCAGAUAUCAGGAGGAACACCAGUGCGAAGGCGGUUCUCUGGGCAUUUCCUGACGCUGAGAAGCGAAAGCGUGGGGAGCAAACAGGCUUAGAUACCCUGGUAGUCCACGCCGUAAACGGUGGGCACUAGGUGUGGGACUCAUUCCACGAGUUCCGUGCCGUAGCUAACGCAUUAAGUGCCCCGCCUGGGGAGUACGGCCGCAAGG
rnacentral:rRNA from 1 species